AGUUGUCCUUUUUCUGCCCUCCAAGUCUUGAUAAAAAUCUUUCAGGUUGUUCCAAGUGAUAACUCCAAAAACUUUAUAUAAGAAAGUUGUGUUAAAAAUCCUAAAUAACUUGCUGCCAAAUUUUCAUAAAAUGCUACCACAUAAGUUGGAAGUUAGGAUCAGGUUUGUAACCCCCUGUUUGGCUGAUAACACUGAGUGUACACCAGUUGGAGUGUUACUGUUUCGACCCCC
rnacentral:lncRNA from 1 species